GGAAGGUCCGGGCGUUAUCCGGAUUUAUUGGGUUUAAAGGGAGCGUGGGCCGGAGAUUAAGCGUGUUGUGAAAUGUAGAUGCUCAACAUCUGAACUGCAGCGCGAACUGGUUUCCUNGAGUACGCACAAAGUGGGCGGAAUUCGUGGUGUAGCGGUGAAAUGCUUAGAUAUCACGCAGAACCCCGAUUGCGAAGGCAGCCUGCUAGGGUGCGACAGACGCUGAGGCACGAAAGCGUGGGUAUCGAACAGGAUUAGACACCCUGGUAGUCCACACAGUAAACGAUGAAUACUCGCUGUUUGCGAUAUACAGCAAGCGGCCAAGCGAAAGCGUUAAGUAUCCCACCUGGGGAGU
rnacentral:rRNA from 1 species